rnacentral:lncRNA from 1 species
GUUGAUGGCAAAGCUGAAGAUGCAUUUCAGCACGUUGGGUGAGAUCUGCAAAGGCCGUUAAAUGAGAUGAGGACCUACCAAGCUAAUGGAGCAACUCCUUCUCAAUCACAACAUUGAACUGCCUCACUGAUUUCAGUGCCUAUAUCCUUCCAGUGCCCCUAGAUUGCUUUGGUUCUGUAUUCAUAAAUGAAAGUGCAGUGACUCAGAGGUUUGGCUGUCUGAGCUGUCUGUCCUUGAUGGCUGAAAACAUCUCCAAAGCAGGAAAGAAAUAUCACCCAGCCAUCAGCAGCAACAAUUUCAAGUUUGUCUCAGUGGAGGCAGCUCUGUGUCUCCAAUCUAAUAAAACCCACUGAUUUACCCUUCAAUCUUUGCUGAUUGCCCUGUUGCUGUGAGGUCGUAUUGCCCAAAACGAGCAGAGAUGUUGCAAUACAGCAUGAUGAAACAUCUGGAAAUUGAAAACUGAAAAGCAGCUAUUGCAGGCUUUCCCUUGUAAACUCUGGAGUGAAUUGUUUAAUCUGCUGGACUGGAGUUAGAGAAACCCUGGAGCAGCUCAUUCAUUCACUGGCGAGGCUGCAUUUCUGCUCUGCAGUGGCUGGGACAGCCUACGCUUGCUCCUUGACUCGGGCCUUGAUUCCACUGCUGUCUGACACUUGGAGCCACACCCCAAGAAGGAAAGCAACAUCUUCAAGCUUAGCCAGUUGGGUGUUAUCAGAGACAGCCAAAACCUUCAUGCAAUCUGCAGAGGAAGAAUUGUACCGCUAUCCUAGGCCAUGAGGAAAUAUUUUUCUCUGAAUUCAUGACCUCUUCUGAACUUCUAACCAUCAGCAAGAUUCAGAGUGAGGUUUACACCAAAGAGAAAUGGGAAUACCUACAUUGAAUCCAUGCUGGAAAAGAAACUUUGCCUGCAAAACACAGUGAUGGUUGUAACUAUCAGCUCCACAGGCCAGAAUUCCUUCCUGAAGAUAGUCUAGUACUGAUUGCCCAAACAUGCAGUCUUUUGCAUCACAGUUUGAUAUAAUUUCCUCCAUCUGAUUGGAGAAGGAAGAUGUUUGUACAUUUUUUUUUUAAUUUUUAUUUUUUAUCUAGCAAUAUUCCAGGGUUCCUUAAAAUGUUUGAAGAAGCCUUGUUUCCAUAAAACACUGAACACUGGCCAUUGUCCUUUGCCUUUCAUCUUAAUAUUGCUGCAAUACAGUUUAUGUUUCUUUGAAUUUUUGAGACAUGUCCUUUGUUUGCAUUCACCCACCCACCCAGCCACAUGUAUUUUAACAUUGUUGACCUAUAUUAGAAGAUCCUUCUACCACAGAUUGUACUAAUGACCUUCUUGGACUAAGAAUCUGCCACAUGUGUUUAUUGGUCUAUAGUUAGACUAACAUUUGGAUAUUUUGUGGGUUGCUCACCACCUCCCCCUGAGCUCCC